GAUGAACGCUGGCGGCGUGCCUAAUACAUGCAAGUCGAACGCAGUGGGGACGGGUGAGUAACACGUGGUUAACCUCCCCAUAAGAUGGGAUAACACUUGGAAACAGGUGCUAAACCUAUAAUGAUGGAUGGACUCGCGAUGUAUUAGCUAGUUGGUGAGGUAACGGCUCAACAAGGCCACGAUGCAUAGCCGACCUGAGAGGGGGAUCGGCCACAGUGGGACUGAGACACGGCCCAGACUCCUACGGGAGGCAGCAGUAGGGAAUCUUCGGCAAUGGACGAAAGCCUGACCGAGCAACGCCGCGUGAGUGAAGAAGGUUUUCGGAUCGUAAAACUCUGUUGUUAGAGAAGCGGUAUCUAACCAGAAAGCCACGGCUAACUACGUGCCAGCAGCCGCGGUAAUUC
rnacentral:rRNA from 1 species